rnacentral:rRNA from 13 species
AUAGGUAUGCGAGGCGAACCGGGUGAACUGAAACAUCUCAGUAGCUCGAGGAAAAGACAUCAACCGAGAUUCCGAAAGUAGUGGCGAGCGAAAUCGGAAGAGCCUGUUAGUGAUAGCACAAGACAUAACGGAACAGUUUGGAAAGACUGGCCAUAGCGGGUGAUAGCCCCGUACGUGAAAUGACCUGUGUGGUACUGAGCUAACGACAAGUAGGGCGGGACACGAGAAAUCCUGUCUGAAUAUGGGGGGACCAUCCUCCAAGGCUAAAUACUCCUGACUGACCGAUAGUGAACCAGUACCG